rnacentral:rRNA from 1 species
UUAGCCGGCGAUUCAAGAGUACGUGAAACCGUCCAGGGGUAAACCUGCGAAACUCGAAUGAACGAACGGGGAGAUUCAUCGUCACUCCACGGCGCACGGGCGCGGUACGGAUGCCCCGCGGUCUCGGCCGCGGGGCACCGCCCUCGUCCGUCGCGUCCGGGGACGGCGUGCACUUCUCCCUUAGUAAUACAUCGCGACCCGUUCGAUGUCGGUCUAAGUGCCCCCCGGGAGUCCGCGCGCCGCGCGAGCGGCGCGUUGACCGGCGGGUGCCACCGACCGGCCGUCGGACGGUAGAUCUGAUGAAACGCUCACGCGCUUGUCGCGUCCGGCCCGACGCAAGGCAACGCCGUAUCCCCCCUCCUGCCCGUGCGCGGAGGAGGGUGCUGCGCGCCUGUUGUCGCAGCCGUGCUGUCUCGGACCGUGUGCGUAUCCGUCUGCGAUGUUACCGUUUCGGGCACUCGCAGGACCCGUCUUGAAACACGGCCCAAAA